GGGGCUGUCUCGAUUCGACAGGACGUACUUUCAAAAUAUGCAAGCCGAUCAUGAUGGUACGAUCGCAAACACUUCCAUCAACUGAUAAGUGCAAACUUUAUCUCAAAGGCCAAGUCGGCACUCGCUUCGGCGUUUACUCCGUCUUACGCUUUCGCCCAUGCCUAAUCCCCUUGGAGCCACACUUCGGUGUUGCUUACUCGGCUAGGCUGGACCAUCGGUCUCUCAAUUCUCGAUAGAGAAACACCGGUGCUAUACUUCGAGAAGGUCCGAGGACUUUCUUCUUGUUUUUCUUCUUCGGUUUCCUUUUGCGAAAGACUCGUCUUCUCUCCUCUUUUGUCUGCUGUUUAUGAGAGAAGGAAUCCACAGCGGACUAUGCUUGUAGACUAUUUUGAAGGAAUGUGACUGGACAUGGGUGCAAUACCCAUCAGCUCCACAA
rnacentral:tmRNA from 1 species